AGCUUCUGUGAAGCAUGGGAGC
rnacentral:siRNA from 1 species